UACGGAGGGGGCUAGCGUUGUUCGGAAUUACUGGGCGUAAAGCGCACGUAGGCGGAUUGGUCAGUUAGGGGUGAAAUCCCAGAGCUCAACUCUGGAACUGCCCUUAAUACUGCCAGUCUAGAGUCCGGAAGAGGUGAGUGGAACUCCUAGUGUAGAGGUGGAAUUCGUAGAUAUUAGGAAGAACACCAGUGGCGAAGGCGGCUCACUGGUCCGGUACUGACGCUGAGGUGCGAAAGCGCGGGGAGCAAACAGG
rnacentral:rRNA from 1 species